rnacentral:rRNA from 1 species
AGUGAACGCUGGCGGCAGGCCUAACACAUGCAAGUCGAACGGCAGCACAGUAAGAGCUUGCUCUUACGGGUGGCGAGUGGCGGACGGGCGAGGAAUACAUCGGAAUCUACUUUUUCGGGGGGGAUCACGAAGGGAAACUUACGCUAAUACCGCAUACGACCUACGGGUGAAAGCAGGGGAUCUUCGGACCUGGCGCGAUUGAAUGAGCCGAUGUUGGAUUGGCUAGUUGGCGGGGUUAAGGCCCACCAAGGCGGCGAUUCGUAGCUGGUGUGAGAGGAUGGUCACCCACCCUGGAAGGUGGCCACGGUCCUGACGCCUGAGGGAGGCAGCAGUGGGGUACAUUGGACAGUGGGCGCGAGUCUGACCCAGCCAUCCCGCGUGGGUGAAGAAGGCCUUCCGGUUGUAAUGCCCUUUUGUUGGGAGAGAACAGCAGCAGGUUGAGACGCCGCUGUUCUGACGGUACCCAAUGAAGAAGCACCGGCUAACUUCGUG